AUUGAACGCUGGCGGCAGGCCUAACACAUGCAAGUCGAACGAGUGGCGGACGGGUGCGUAAUGUCUGGGCAACUGCCUGAUGGAGGGGGAUAACUACUGGAAACGGUAGCUAAUACCGCAUACCAUCGGAUGUGCCCAGGUGGGAUUAGCUAGUAGGUGGGGUAACGGCUCACCUAGGCGACGCUCCCUAGCUGGUCUGAGAGGAUGACCAGCCACACUGGAACUGAGACACGGUCCAGACUCCUACGGGAGGCAGCAGUGGGGAAUAUUGCACAAUGGGCGAAAGCCUGAUGCAGCCAUGCCGCGUGUAUGAAGAAGGCCUUCGGGUUGUAAAGUACUGUCAGCGGGGAGGCGGUACCCGCAGAGGAAGCACCGGCUAACUCCGUGCCAGCAGCCGCGGUAAUUC
rnacentral:rRNA from 1 species